AGAGAUGUAGCUCAGUGGCAGAGCAUCUCCUUCGCACACAGAAGGUCUCAGGUCAAUCCCUGGGGUCUCCA